AGCUUUUUGUGGUGGCAGUAUCAUAGCCACUGAAGUUUAUCUGAGGCAGUUAUUGCUAAUUGAAAACUUUUCCCAAUACUCCAGUGAUGACUUACAACAUAGUCGGCACUGGCAAUUAUUGGCAAUCUAUGGAGA